rnacentral:lncRNA from 1 species
AAAGGCAGCGGGACUUGGUCGUUGAGUGUCUGGAACUAAAAUCGGACACUCGACUUCCCGAACAUCGGUCUCAACAAGCGAACGCUGGAUCUUUAUUUCCCGAACAGCUAGAAGAGCGCUGUUCAGUACUUUUGUGCAUUCGAAUGAGGGGAACAAUCACUGCUAAGAGCCAGGGGAAUCCAUUCGUGGAAUUAUUCAGUUUUUGCCACUUAACUGAAUAGACCGGCAAAACUACCCAAACUCCUG